GGAGAAAUGAAAGUGAAAAGUGUACAAUUGGAAGGGCCAAUUUGGCAGCUUUUGGCAACAUGGUCAUUGCACAGCCUUCAAUCCCUGCACCAGGCUCACUGGAGCGCUCUUCAGCUGUUGAUAAUACCAUGCAAGUACCUCCUCCGCUUUCGGUGAUGUGAAUAGUCUCCUUUUUAUCAUCCAAAGCUGCUAUGCUGUACUUGUUAAUAUUGAGUCACAUUAAAAGGAACUACAAUUCAUUAUUUAUGGCGCUCUCGAGGAAUUGAG
rnacentral:lncRNA from 1 species